CAAUCAGCAGACAUUUCGCUGCUGAACCGGAGGGAGAGAGAGAGCACAGAAUCGCCCCCAAGAUAAGCAGAAAUACCAUCAAUUUACAAGGUCUCUCCAAACUGGAAAAAGCAACUGUGCAACAGCCACAUGCCACAUGUUCGGGUCUCGCUCUCACAGUCUCUCCGUGAUUGAUUUAUCCGUGUAUUUAUUUUAAACUCUCUCCCCAGACCCAGGCAUGUGCGUUUCCCCAGCACAAAUCAAUACACACUGCAACUGCAGCUGCAGCGGCGGCGCGAGCAGAGGACCCGCGCGCGUCCGUCGGUCCGCCCGCCCCCUCCCCCAUCCCCUUCCACCCGCGACCGCGAGCGCCAUCCCAGCUCCAUUAUCGGGCUUCAGCACUCCGAGCGUCUGGCCCAGGUAACAACUUCCCCAAAAACCGAAACAGAAAAAAAGAGAGGCGUCCGCAGAGGGCCCAUCCCGGCGCGGGGAGUCUUCCCCGGGGAGAGGGCUCUGCCCGCGGUGCUCCCCGGUCUCUAACCAGCAUGUAGCCACUGGAAAUGUUGACAACCAUCUUUUGAACACAACAAGAGACAGCUUUUAGAUGAAGUUGAUACUGCAAAAGGUAUAAUGAAGAGACUGAAAGAAACUGAGUCUUUGGUGAUAUGCAUGAGUCCUGGAUCAAGCCCUACCUGAAUCCUGGUAUCAAUUCUCCUCCUGGCCUGCGUGGAGCCCAGCCGGGGGAUCUCACAGAUUGAACCUGUGCCUUAGAAGUUCCAGACCUCAUCCUUAUCUUACUCCUGCAUAUUUGAGCUCCUCCCUCUGUAUUUUCAAGAUCA